AGAAACAUAAAAACCUUGUUUUUAUUUUAAAUAUUUCUCAUUUAUAGAUGCAGCUGAGAUUUAGUAAAUGGGAACAUAGUGGCAGAAAACGCUGAAUAAUUUAUGAAUUAUUUAGUUUUCGUUGCAGGAAGGUACUGACCAGCGUUAGGAAGAUAUUUGAAUGUGUGAAGAAAACCAAACGUAAGCUGAAAAUCAUGUUUCUGAUUUCUUGGAUGCUUCUCUUUGCUUUGAAAGCAGCUCUUCAUUCUCCACUUCCUGAGGGCGUCGUCUGGACCUUUUCCAGCGUGUUGGAAGGAGUUCUUACAUAUGCUGAGCUUUUCUUGGCUCAUUUUAACUCACUGACUGCCUCACACCAAAGGCUGACAAACCUCUAGCUAACCUGCUGUUUACCUCUAAACUAGUCAAACAUUACUAGUCUGAGUUAGUUAAUCUGAAAACUGACAAGCCAAACAUUCAGAAACAAAACAUCAAGACCUGGGCAGCUGAUGCACUGAAAAAACACAAAAUAUUACAAAAUAUUUCUGUCUGGUUUCUGGUGCAAAUAUAUUAGUAAAUAUGAAAUAAAGCAAAACUGAGCUAGACCAGUUUACUGAGCGACGCCGAGAACACGAACACGGCCAAAGAAUUACACUUUUCACAGACGUGUCCAACGAACAUCCGCUUUGAAUUUGGACUGGGUUUAAAUCCGGUUUGUGGGAACCUUUAAGCCUGGUUUAAAUUUGAUGCAUUUAUAUUCCACACAGAAAACAGACAUGUGGAAUCUGCUCAAAACCCUUUUAGCAGCAUUUAUAACCUGCUUUGCUCAUAUUCUGCUAGACUUUAGGCCACAACAAACUUAGAAGUAAAGUCACAGUUGUAACAUGGUCAACAUCUGUGAGCAAAGUCGUCUUUAUGGUCUGAAUUAUGAAGGAGAGAGUCUUUGGAAAACGCCAUCAAGAGGAGAUUCUGCUUGUCCGCCAUGUUCUGUCAUGUGGAGCUGCAGAGAAUGAUGUCCAUGCAGAGGAAACAUUUUGAUUUUGUUGCAAUGUCUGUUUCAGACAGGUUUAACGAAGGAAGUGACUGUUGAGUCUUAGUUGCCUUGGUUACGUCUAAUCAGGGGAUUUUAUGUGCACCCGUUUACAUGAUCAUUUUGAUAAAUAGUCCAGGUCAUCAAGCCUGAUACAGACAGGCAGAGGAGCUGAGUGGCAGCAGGAGGCGAAACGUUGAGGAGACGAGAGGAAGAGGAGAUCCAGGGUCAAAGGUGAGAGUCGGAACAAAACAUGAGAGAAUAACUGGACAGGGACAAAGAGCCAUGAAACCACAGAAAUGGAAAUCUCCCUUUUCGCCUCCGCAACACAAAGGCUCAACAUGGGUGACACAGACACACUCCCACUCCUCAUUAGAGCUGGGUUCCCGGCGCCGAGCUUUUCUGGCAGACAGGAAGUCACGGCUUCUGCGCCCAGAACCAAAAUACUUUCAAAAAGGAAACAAACUCUAAACUUUUGCUACGUUUCAUGUGUACAUGCUCAGAAUCACAAAGAAAACUCCUCACAGGUCGGCAGGUUUCUGUCUGCUGCAGACUGAACGCUGCAGUUUUAAUCAAAACUAAUAGUUGUUACUGAAAAAUGCAAAAUUCUUCCAAUGAAAUGGUAACAACUGGCUUACAGCAGGCAAAAAAAAUUACCACAUACACCAGAUUUAGGAUAACGGAGAAGAAAAUGGUGCAAAAACACAUUUAACAUUUAUAUAUUCAUAUCAGAAUAAACACUGGGCUUAAAUUAAAGGCUCAAAGGUAAUAAAAUAUACAUGUGGCACUGUCAGUCACUACGGGGAACGGUGAUAUUUCAAACCGCUGACAUAAUUAAAACAAGACAAGACCAAAUAUCAAUGAGCAUAUUUCAGGAAGGUUGGUUUCAACUCUUCAUGACCUCAAUAAUGAAACAGCAUAAUGUCCCUCACACGGCGCGCUGUCAAAGUAAAACGGAUGAUUAAAUUGUUUUACUGACUGAACAGCAACUUUUUUACAAAACAGAACCGAAACAAAGCAGGACCUGAUAUCUAAUGACUGCAGUGCUAACUGGUUCAUGCUAACGCUAACCUUUCAUAGAGGCACCAUUAUUUUUAACCAGGUCUGCCUCAUUAAUUUAUUUUUACAUACUGAACCACAAUUCAAAAGCAGAGGCUAAUUUUCACCAGUUAAAUUUCAGUUUCAGGUUGAAGUUUUUUUUUGGUCAUUAACAGAAGGAUAAAAACAAUGUUUAGUUUAUGCUGCAGUUCUGUAACGAUGACAUUAGGAGCCGUUUUACCUCCCAGAGAGCAAACAUGAUAAACUGGAACUAUCCUCCAGGUUAGCAGCCUGGUCUUUAGAAAAUAACACAUUAUGGAUUAAAUGUGUAGCAAAGCAAAUGAAGAACAGCUUUAAAGGAAUUGUUAGUACCAUAACUGUGUUGACUUGGCUGGUUUUGCAAUUUCCUUGCAAUAUAGUCAAAUCAAAGACAGUAUUUCUCUAAUACUUAAUGCUGCUGCAAUGUGAGACGUUCCAGUGGAGCUCUGGUCACUCAGCUAUCUGGGUCACCUGAUUUUCUGCAUCCAAUCAAGGAGUUUGUUUCUUCUUAGGCUUUAACAGAUAAGUUAAUGCUUAUCUGUGUGAUAAAAUGGAUCCUCUUCUUGCUAAAUGAUCCUCUUUGGCUGUUCCAGUGAGACAGAGACGAAGCAGAAAAACGGUUUAAGAUGGAAAUGUUGGUCUGUUGCUAACCUGAAGUGAAUGAGCAGAACUAAAACUGUGCUGAACCAGGAUCAUGUUGCUUAGAGCCGGAUAAGUUUCAGUCAUGCUCAUUUUCUGCCUCUCACGUUUAAAAAGAAUCAUAACACACGUGUCCUAAAAACAUAAAAACUUCAUUAUUACUUCCUUUAGGUGACGGUGAUUCAGAAAAGGGGAUUUUCACUGAACCGUUUCAGGCUAACAGCGAAAGGUGAGAAAAACAGAGAGCUUCCAGUGAGCAGCAGCUGCUCCUGAUUUCAGGAGCUGGAGCAGAAUGAUCAGGCUGAGUUCAGAUGAUAAAGAGGCAACAGCACCUCUAACAACCACUCAUCAAACCCAGAGCUGCAGAUUCGGUCUCUGCUGGGGAGGAACCUUGAAGCAGAUGGCCUACAAAGACAGAGGACCCACCGGGUGCCGCUCCUGUCAGCUGGGAACGAAAACUGGGGCAACGGCUCACACUGGCUCAACAAGCCUGGACAAUAAGAGGUUAGAGAAAAAUGUUGCCUGCUUUGAUUAGCCUCAAUUCUAGCUGCAAAUUUCAGGCGGACGGGUCAGAAUUCAGUGUAAAAACAUUGAGUGUGGAUCCAUCCUGCUGGGCUCCAGCUGGACGAUGCAUCAGGUCAGAGUUCAAAUCACCUUAAUCUGGUUUCUGGCUCCACUGUUCACCAGCGGUGGGAACCGCUGACUAGAAAGCUGGCUGCGCUAACCCUAAAACACUAAUAAUGAAGCAUGAAUGUAAAAGUCUGCAAAACAGCCAAACAAAUUGGAAUCUAUGGAGAAAGAAUGAAUUUAGGGGAAACUAAGUGGGCUAAACGAUUUCAAACUUAGCAAACAAACUAAACAGAAAAGUUAGCUCUGUGGGUUAGCAGAAGCGUGUCCACCACAGUCACCACGUCUUCAUCAGUAGAAAACAUUCAGGGUCUGGUGGAAGGACAGACUGACAUCAUGAAUGUGCAACAAUCAAAUCUGCAUGAAAACAGAGGAAUGUCUCCGAGUCGGAUCUACGCUCGGCAGAACGAAGACGGUUCUGAAAGCAGAAGGGCAGAACUAAGAAGUGUGCCGGAACCGACCUGAAGAAGGAUUUAUAUCAGAAAGAGAAGCCUGCUGUCUAGUGAAAGGAUCAGAGAUGGAAAAGGACGACUGACUGGUUGCCAUGGUAACCCCUGUCUUUUCCAGGGGACUUGGUCGGGUUGGGUUUCAAGGCAUCACCUUCCUCCACAGGGAAGACAGAAAUGCAAACAGUGAUCUUCUGUCUGCCACGGCGUGAGUCCAACAGUUCUUCAACUGGCUGGUAUGGACCGGUUCAGGUCUGGUUCAGGUCCGUUGGGGUCCGUUCAGGUCUGUUCGGGUCCGUUGGGGUCCGCUCAGGUCUGUUCAGGUCCGUUCAGGUUCGUUUGGGUCCGUUGGGGUCCGUUCAGGUCUGUUCAGGUCCAUUGGGGUCCGUUCAGGGCUGUUCAGGUCCGUUUGGGUCCGUUGGGGUCCGUUCAGGUCUGUUCGGGUCCGUUGGGGUCCGUUGGGGUCCGUUGGGGUCCGUUCAGGUCCGUUGGGGUCCGUUCAGGUCCGUUGGGGUCCGUUCAGGUCCGUUGGGGUCCGCUCAGGUCUGUUCAGGUCUGUUCAGGUUCGUUCAGGUUCGUUUGGGUCCGUUGGGAUCCGAGAAUCCGGGCAGAACCAAGACAGAGCAUCUGUUUUCCGGACCAGCUCUAGUCCAGCUGUGAAUCACCGGAGCAUCAAAACGUUUCCUGAACUUUGCUGUGGAGCUGCAGGUCAGGCUAAAACUGAUCGAUUCUGUUUCUGCCCUCUAACGAGACAAAGUUGCCUCAGAAAACAGCUUAGUGAAUAUAUUUUGUUUGAUCUGACUCGCACUGUUUUGGCAGAUGAGAGCAGCGCUGGGUGAAAUUGCGUUUGAAAUGUAAUCAAAGCUGGAAGAGGGUCUGAACGGCAGCAGGAGCCAGGCGCAGAGUCCCUGAGGAAUGAACCUCUCCAGCUCCACCAAAGGCUGCGGUAAGCUCCGGACUAAAGGGACUUACAAUCACUUUGACCUCAGUUAAACAUACAAAUACCACCUUAAAAAAGCCCGUCUGCUCAGACGUGUAAUAAGGUUGCAAAUCCCAGUUCAAAAGAUAUUUAUUUUAAAGCACCUCUAUUUGCAUUUGGUCCUGGGCUGAGCUUAAGCUGCCACAACAAAACCUGCAGCAACACCAGAGAAAUCUCUCCGCCCGACUUCAAAGGAGGAAACAUUUAUUCUUGUUCUGAUUCACAUCCAAAAAAUGAUUAUUGACACUUAAAGAGGGAAUGCUGGGAAUGGUUAGGAGGAUCCAGGUGUGUUGGAGCCAUCAGCAGUCAUCCUCACCGCUCCUACUUUCACCUCUGGGCUGUUAUCCUGGAGUGACGCUACAUGAACAAACUCCAGUUACAACAUGAUGUAGCCAAACGGACAGAUUCCUGGUUAGUGCACAGUCUUCAUUAUUCUAAUGUUCUUCUCUGUCAGUCUGAUACUCUACCCCCGUCUGCAUGUGUGGAGGAAAACAGAAACGCUUCACAUCAAUGGUGCAGCAAGGUGGAGGCGGGAUGAUGGUGUGGGCUCGUUUUGCAUCAGAUAAACUUUGUUAAAAACUAAGUGCAGAGAUAAAAACUAAAUUCAUUACAUUUUUAAGGAAACUUUAUUUUUCACCAAUGUUUUAAGAUUUUGACUGAGUCAGUUUAAUUUGAUUAUUUUUUAAUGACUUCAUGGAAAGUUUUGCUGCAGGAAACAUGAGAUUUUCCAGACCUGAAGGCAGAUUGGUGACCAGUUCCUCCGUCCAGGAUGUUUUUAUUUACUAAUAAACUAUAAUCUAUCAUUUUCAAUGCAUCCAUGUGCGUCAUUUAUAAAUUAACAUUCGAUUUCUGGUGAUUAAAUGAGACGUUAAUGUUUGGUUUUGGUCCAACAUUCAGCAUCCAUCUUCAACAAAACCAAAUUUCACCAGAGAUGAUGAAACUUUUAGUUUUUAUUAGAAAACUAAAGCAGAGCAAAAACAUUGUUUAGUUUUAAAUCAGCCUCAUAUCCUUCAAAUGCAUUUUUAACUUUCAUAAGUCUAUGAGGGAAAACUCAUCUGGACUUCCUGCGAACCCGUUGGCGGUACAAACAGAACAUUAAAUAAAAAUGAUAAGAGGAGAGAAGAAAUGUCGUUCCAAUGAAUAUUUCAGCUUUAUCAGGACGGACGUGUUGCUGUUUGUGG